rnacentral:rRNA from 1 species
UACGUAGAGUGCGAGCGUUAAUCGGAAUUACUGGGCGUAAAGCGUGCGCAGGCGGUUUUGUAAGCCAGAUGUGAAAUCCCCGGGCUUAACCUGGGAAUGGCAUUUGGGACUGCAAGGCUGGAGUGCGGCAGAGGAGACUGGAAUUCCUGGUGUAGCAGUGAAAUGCGCAGAUAUCGGGAGGAACACCGGUGGCGAAGGCGGUUCUCUGGGCAUUACCUGACGCUGAGGAGCGAAAGUGUGGGGAGGCGAAACAGGG